GACGAACGCUGGCGGCGUGCUUAACACAUGCAAGUCGAACGGAAAGGCCCUGCUUGCAGGGUACUCGAGUGGCGAACGGGUGAGUAACACGUGGGUGAUCUGCCCUGCACUUCGGGAUAAGCCUGGGAAACUGGGUCUAAUACCGGAUAGGAGCCAUUUUUAGUGUGAUGGUUGGAAAGUUUUUUCGGUGUAGGAUGAGCUCGCGGCCUAUCAGCUUGUUGGUGGGGUAAUGGCCUACCAAGGCGGCGACGGGUAGCCGGCCUGAGAGGGUGGACGGCCACAUUGGGACUGAGAUACGGCCCAGACUCCUACGGGAGGCAGCAGUGGGGAAUAUUGCACAAUGGGCGCAAGCCUGAUGCAGAGACGCCGCGUGGGGGAUGACGGCCUUCGGGUUGUAAACUCCUUUCGCUAGGGACGAAGCUUUUGUGACGGUACCUAGAUAAGAAGCACCGGCUAACUACGUG
rnacentral:rRNA from 1 species